ensembl:lincRNA
UGCCAGUCCUUGGAGGAGUUUCCAGGCUGUGAUAAGACCUUAUUUGUGUUUUUGACAGAAUUUGGACAGGAGAAGUCACAUCAGGGAGACCAGAGACUAGAGUAUUGCAUCAUAGAGGAAAGACACUGAUGACAAGAACUCAGGGGAGCAGUGGAACUGGAGGCCUGGGAGCUUGGGACGUGUUCUCUGGGUGAAGUUGGCCGGCCAGCUGAUGACCUACACCAGUGGCAUUCACUCCUCAUGUGUCCCCCAGGAAUUCAUGGUGUGUGUCAUCAGUUAUUUGGGACUUCAAUGUUCCUGAGACAAGAAAAGGAAACAUGGAAGCGUGCACACUUAGAAAUGAGUCUCAGAAACGGAAAAUCCAACCAGCUAAAUCAUCACAGCCCUCCUGGCAAAAUUCUCUAAUGAUAAAAGUUGUUUGUUUUGUUUUUUUUUUCUGAUUUUUCUUUUCAGACACAUUAAUAAUCUCUCGACUAGGAAAGGGGAACCCAC